rnacentral:lncRNA from 1 species
GAGUCCCUUCUGAGCUCCCAUGCAAUGUAGACUCAUCGGAAUCCCGUGCUCAUGGGAUUUUAUGAACACUAUAUGCAAAUAGGACAGCAAGAAAUGGCAGUAAACGCUUUUAUUGUUGCUAUCUCCUCUGCUCCUGCACAUGCUCCAUGGUAUCGUUGGACUUCACUUACAAAACACAGAUACAAAGACAAAAUUACUAAGAAUUACCAAGAAUUUUAAUUUCAAGAUGGCAACAGAGUAUUAAACCAAAGAUGAAGUCGUUCUGAGUGUGGGGUUUGCGAGAUGGCACAGGUGGCACUCCCAGGAGCUCGUCUUGGCCAGGUCGCACCCUUGAGUCCAUUGGAACCUGAAUCUCACCCUGCUCUGCUAUGCUAUACUGACUCCAGCUGAAUUCAAGGAGUUACAGUUUGAAACUCUCCAGACUCCAGUGGCCAUCCCACUUGUGAUCACUUGCUCUGAGGGAGGACAUCUGCUGUAUCAUGAGGACGCAAAACCAUCCCAUGGAGGGUGCUACAUGCAGAGCAGCUGAGGCCUCCUGCUAGUUGUCAGUGAGGAACCGAGGCUUCUUGCCAAUGGCCAUAUGGAGUCUCACCCUGUCACCCAGACUGGAGUGCAAUGGCGUGAUCUCGGCUAACUACAAACUCUGCCUCGUGGGAUCAAGUGAUUCUCCUGCCUCAGCCUCCCAAGUAGCUGGGAUUACAGGUAUGCAGCAUGACGCCCAACUAAUUUUUUGUAUCUUCAGUAGAGAUGGGGUUUCACCAUGUUGGCCAGGCUGGUUUUGAACUCCUGGCCUUGUGAUCCACCUGCCUUGGCCUCCCAAAGUGCUGGGAUUACAGGCAUGAUCCACGGUGUCCAGCCUUUUUUUUUUUUUUUUUUUAGUAAAAGGAAUUCCAUCAGUUCAUUUGGAGUCUGAUCAAUGCUGGGCGAACAGAUUAAAUUCUCUUUAGAGUAGCAAAUCUUAGGACUAUAAGCUGAAGUAGAACUAGAAAGUCCAGCCAUACCUAAGUCCAAGCUAGCCACUCUGGUCCUUUUCUCUGUUGUAUUCCAUUAAAGACCCUGAUAUCUGGGACUAGAGUUCCUGAGCACUCUAUACCCAUGACCUGGUCUGGAAGCAGCUCUUCUUAGCUGUCCUAUCAUGCCACAGUAACUCCGGGUCUCUGAGACAAGUGUCCUGAAACUCUUGAGUUCUCACAUGCCCUUUCAUCUUUCCCUCUUUUUUGAUCAAUCCAACCAAUUCAUGGCUUCCUGUUGAAUGUUAUUUUAUAAUAAUAUGGUUUAUGUUAUUAACACUCUUUAAUGUUAUUCAAGCCCAUCUUCUAUCAUGUCAUUGCUUAAAAAGCCUCAACAGUUCCUUAGGGUCAAGCCCACUGUGUGUGAGCUUCUUAACUGGGCAUUUAGAAUCCUCUCCAAUAUCCUCCACUACCUAUGAUUUAUAUUUUAGCCAAAAUGGACCCUUUAUAAUCUUGAACUUCAUUGCAUGUCUGCACUUCUAUACCAGUGCUGAAUCCCAAACUGAAAUCUGGUUCAUAUUUCAUGAAACAGCUGGUUUUUACACCCACAUCUUGAAAUCUCUUUCUAUUCCCUCACCUAGAUACAAACUCUUCAAGGGGCCAGUAGAGUAUAGUGGCUAAAAUCUUGGAUUCUAAAACCCAGCUGUCAAGGUUCAAAUCCCAGCCACACCAUGUGCUGACUGUGAGAUCAUAUACAAGUCUCUUUUCACUUCACAUCUGUUUCCUUAUCUGGAAAAUCAAGAAUAUUAAUCAGAUAUUAAAUGAGAUAAUAUACAUUUAAUCUAGUCCGUGGAACCCUGUAAGCAUGCAGCAACUGCGAGCUAUUAUGGCAGAUGCUGUUGCUAGCCCACCCACAUCCUCUUGGUAUUUGUCUCUACAUUCUCAACCUGUUUAUAGAAAACAUUCGUGACUCUCUGUAGUCAAGAUAGCAUGCUCAGCUCUCAUACAGGGCAGAGCAGAAGUUUCUGAGAUGUAAUCAGUCUCCCAAGAAGCGACACUCAGACAAUGACCAAUGGAGAGUCAGUGGAUGAAUACCCCUUGUUAGGAAUAACUCUGAACCCUAUUCUAGAGUGUGGACAGCAUAGAAUCUCUUAUUGUCUCCCAGACUUCCCCAGCAGGCUGUAACAUCAGUUGCCCGCAAUGGUAAUUGGCUUGGCAGAUACCUUCUGUCAGCUCCUUUGCCUUCCCUAACUUACUCUCCACUCUCUUUUAUGUAUUUCCUGGGAUCGUUUCCCAAAACUACUUGGAUUCUUGUCUCCGGGUUGGCUUCUGGAGGACUCUAAAACCAUAACUGCUCUUAUCACUACAGCUGACUUCUUUGAAACCAUGAAAAUACUGCUUUAUUUGCAUUCGUCUUCUGCUAGUUAGAGUCUACCUUCAUAAAACCUAAAAUCCAACAAAAAAUUAAGACCAAAAUACAAAUAUUUCUCACAGUACCUCUCACAUAGAAGUUACUCAAUCUGUAUUUAGAGAGCAAAGAAUAAUGGGAGAUCAAAAGAUUACUCUGUGACUAUAAAAAUAGAGCGAGGACUAUUGAUUGGUUACUAAGAAUAUUUUACAAACUUUUAUGGUUUGACACACCCUUUUAAUGGUGGUAUGUCUACCUAAUAUAUCUGCACCUUCCCAAAAUCCCCUCCCCUCGAUGUCAGCAUCAGGACUCCCCUCCUCCUCUAGCUAGAUUUGAGAGACACUUGCCAUUAUCUCAUCAUUAUUUUAUCAUGUUAAUGUACUUGUGUAACCUUUUAUAUUUUCUAAAUAUGAAAAAUAUUUUACAGAGAUUACAUUUGACGCAGCUGCUUCCUGAAGACCUAGAGAUCACUUUAAUCUUACAAGCACAUUCUUCAGAUUGUCGUGUGGGUGGGUAACUUCCGCCAGACUUUUCUGGAGAUGGCUAAUCCAGCCGUGGGAUGUGGUUUCUUCUAACAGCCAGUCAGGAAAAUCUUGCUUCUCAAACUCCUGUCUUGACCCCUUCCUGAACUUUGCCUCCUGGAUCUUGAGGUCUGCCUUCUGUGGAAGAGAAAUACUAGAAUCAAUGAACUGUGAACUAGAGCCCUGGGAUUAUCAACAGGUAAUGGUGAUACUGCAGCAGUUGGCUGCAUGAGAUUUGUGAUUACAGACUUGAGAGUGGCUGUCACCUUUGGUGCUACCAGAAGUAGCUUUCAAAACUGCCCUUCUGUAACAGAGAAUUCUAGAAGGGUGGUCCAUGGACCAUCUAUAUUAGAAGGACUUCUGGCUCUGCUUCGCCUGCGGAUUACUGGUCCUGCUCAGGCAAACUGAAUCAGAAUCACUUGUGAGGAUGCUUCAAUUUGCAUUUGUAGACAAACUCCUCAGGUGAUAAGGUGACCAAAUUAUCCAAGUUUUAGCAUUGAAAGUCCCACAUUCAGGAAAGCCUUUAGUCCUGAGACACUUGGUCACCAAGUGGAUAUGUCUUAUGUACAUUGAAUUCUUAGAGCUGUCUUACAGACCCCAAGGUAUGCCACACUAACACGGAUGCUACUUUUACUCGGUAAGAAUCUCUGAGACUUUGAGAUGACUUUAAUCCAGUGUGACAUUGGGUGGGGAGCUCCCUCAGACAUCGAUCUUGAUAAGAUCCUUCCAUGGGAACUUGAGUGUUUGAGAGACCCAGAGUAUGUGUUUUGUUACUUUACUUUUCCUUUCUUUUGAACCUCAUGUGCAAGGAGUUGAACUUGGUCUUGAGUUUAUAGUACACAAUUUAAUUCUGUAUCUACAAGGCCCUUCUCUGGAUUUAUGUGGUUAUUUAUUCUCAUUUCCCCACCAGCUCUCCAUGCCCAGCAGGCAAACAUUACAAUGUGAUUGUUUUAUACUCUGAAUUUGUUUGUAUCUUUGUAAAGCAUAUAACAUUGUUCCUGUGUAUUUUAAUUUAAACAUAUUGUAUUCUGCUGCAGACUUCACCCUAACUCUUGCCUUUUUCUGUUAAGUAUUGUGUUUAAUGCUGCAUGGUCCUUUGACCUGUUGUUUCUUGUGGUAGGCAGCUCUUAAGGUGGCUCCCAAUAAUGGUGCCCUGUUGGUACCCAUGUCCCUGUACAAUCACCUUACCUUGAUUGUGGACUAUACUUAGUGACCUGCACUUAGUGAACAGAAUGUGGCAAAAAGUGACAGUAUGUUACUUUUGAGACUAAGUUAUAAAAAGCCUUUGUCUUCUUCUCUUGUGCCCUCCCUUGCUCACUCUGGUGGAAGCCAGCUGAAAUUUUGAGAGCCACCUUAUAGAAAGCCUAACAGCAAAGACUGGAGAGAGGCUUCCAGCCAACAGCCAGCAAGGAAUUGAAGCCCUCAGUCCAAUAGCAGUGAGGAAUUGAAUCCUGCCAACAGCCUCGUGGGUGAGCUUGGAAGCAAAUCCUAUUCUAGUCUAGUAGAGACUUGAGAGGACCCAUAGCUCUUGCCAACACUUGAUUGCAGCAUUGUAAGAGACCCUGAGCCAAAGGACUCAGCUACACCAUGCUGGCUCCUCGCCCAUAGAGACCAUGAUAUAAUAAAUGUUUGUUAUUUUAAGAUGUUAAACUUGGAGUAAUUUGUUACACAGCAAUAGAUAACUGAUAUGCUUCUAAUCAUUGCAUGGUGUCCAUAGCAUAUUUUUACCACAUUUUACUUGUCCACUUCCUGCAGAUGGGUUGCUUGCUGCCUGAAUCUAACUCC